AUAUCAGCCUGAGCACGAUUAUUAUUACCACCACCGGUACGAUUAGUAACGGUGCGGGCUGACGCGUAGAAAAGAAUCAAAAAAAGCCCGCACCUUACAGUGCGGGCUUUUUUUUA
rfam:Serratia sp. ATCC 39006 ctg4, whole genome shotgun sequence.